rnacentral:rRNA from 1 species
UACGUAGGGGGCAAGCGUUGUCCGGAUUUAUUGGGCGUAAAGAGCGUGUAGGCGGCCACACAGGUCUGCUGUGAAAACUCGAGGCUCAACCUCGAGCUGUCGGUGGAAACCGUGUGGCUAGAGUCCGGAAGAGGAGAGUGGAAUUCCCGGUGUAGCGGUGAAAUGCGCAGAUAUCGGGAAGAACACCCGUGGCGAAGGCGGCUCUCUGGGACGGUACUGACGCUGAGACGCGACAGCGUGGGGAGCAAACAGG